CGUCUCCAGGCGGCAAGUGAUUUGGCUCACGUACUGCGUGAGCAAAAACAUAGGCACGUGGCUCAUGAAGGAGAUGACCGGCGACUUGCUUCAUCUGUCGGACCAUGUCAUCGCCGACUGGAGGAACUACGCUCGUGAGGUCGUGCGGGACGAGCUGCUGGCGCGACCCCCACUCGGUGGCCCCGGGAGGAUUGUGCAAAUUGAUGAAUGCCUCCUUCGCGGCAAGCGAAAAUACAAUCGAGGCCGCCUGAUGACGGGCGACAACGUUCCGCCGAGCCGCCAAAAUUACGGUGGCAUUGCAGAUCGUGGACCGUGGGUAUUCGGCAUGAUCUGCGUGACCACCGGGGAGCUCCGACUAUUCAAGGUCGACCGACGAGACGCGGCGACGCUAGGCCCCAUUAUUGCAGCCAACGUGGAACCGGGAACCACCAUCCACAGUGAUGAAUGGGCCGCAUACAACUGCAUCCCGAACUUAGUGGGGGCUAACGGAGCAAGACUGAAUUUGCAAUGGGAGGCUGUUAACCACAGCAUGAACUUUGUAGACCCAAUCACGGGCGCUCACACCCAAAAAAUCGAAAGCUACUGGCAGAAGGUGAAGCGCCACCUCGUCUCUUCCGGCUACAGGGUGACUCCACAGCUCCUCGAGUCGCACCUGAUAUGGCUAUGGUGGGCAUCGAUUAAUGGGCACAUGCGCUGCAAGGACUCGUUUCUGCGUCUAUUAGAAGCGAUCGCACGGCGCUACCCAGUGUGACAAAGUAACGGAAAAUAAAGCGCACUUUUUCUGACCCUUUGCUUUUGUAUGAAUGUUUCCCGGCAUUGCUGCGCGCCUCCAUACACGGUAGGCCCGCGGCGCUGCACUUCCGCAGUAAGCGACGCUCACUUCGCCUUUUGAAAGCCAAGUGCAAAAAGCAGGCGAUCGUGCAAAAGCCUAGUGCAGAAACCAGGCUCACAUCAAUCUGCGCUCAAAAAAGCGAUCGCAUAACAGCCUAGUGCAGAAACCAGGCGCACACCAAUCUGCGCUCGGAAAAGCGCGCGCAAGCACGUAGCGAGCCGCGCCAAUCCAAUCCAGAAGCCAAAGAAGAGGGGGGAAGUAAUGUGUGACACUAAGUUCAGAACUACCGGCGCAUGAACUGCUCAUAUAAAAGUUGCAGUCAGCAUGAAGCAAUUGCAUGGGAACCGACUGGCUGUCUUGGGCCUACACAUUGCUGAAAAGACAGUGAAGACGUCUGACCCGACAGGUAGAAAAGAAGCAGAUGGCUACAGUGAUCAAUGAAGAAAUGGCUUCAUCUAUGAUGGCUCGCCUUAGGACAUUGGAAUGGAGCUACAAAAAGGCAUCAUCAUCCUCGCCUUUGCCCUGGAACUUUGGUUUGAAUGAGACUGUUCUUCAAUGUAGAACGGCCGCAAGACUUGUCACCACAAGGCAUAGUGCAAGCUCAAAAUAUUGUACAGGAGGCUAGAAUAAAUGAC